CCCGAUAUGUUGGUUCAAGCCUGUAGUCGUGCCUGGUAGGUAAAUCCGCCGGGCUUAGAUGAGGGGUGAUAACGAGGCUGCUUGCAGCCGAAGUGAGUGAUACCCUGCUUCCAGGAAAAGCCACUAAGCUUCAGCUACACACGACCGUACCGCAAACCGACACUGGUGCGCGAGAUGAGUAUUCUAAGGCGCUUGAGAGAACUCAGGAGAAGGAACUCGGCAAAUUGACACCGUAACUUCGGAAGAAGGUGUGCCUUUAGUAGGUGAACCUGUACAAGGGGAGCCCAAUGAGGUUGCAAAAAAUCGGUGGCUGCGACUGUUUAAUAAAAACACAGCACUCUGCAAACACGAAAGUGGACGUAUAGGGUGUGACGCCUGCCCGGUGCUGGAAGAUUAAAUGAUGGGGUGCAAGCUCUUGAUUGAAGUCCCAGUAAACGGCGGCCGUAACUAUAACGGUCCUAAGGUAGCGAAAUUCCUUGUCGGGUAAGUUCCGACCUGCACGAAUGGCGUAACGAUGGCCACACUGUCUCCUCCUGAGACUCAGCGAAGUUGAAAUGUUUGUGAUGAUGCAAUCUCCCCGCGGAAAGGCGGAAAGACCCCAUGAACCUUUACUGUAGCUUUGUAUUGGACUUUGAACAGAUCUGUGUAGGAUAGGUGGGAGGCUUUGAAGUGUGGUCGCUAGAUCGCAUGGAUCCAACGUUGAAAUACCACCCUGGUGUGUUUGAGGUUCUAACCUAGGCCCGUAAUCCGGGUCGGGGACAGUGCAUGGUAGGCAGUUUGACUGGGGCGGUCUCCUCCCAAAGCGUAACGGAGGAGUUCGAAGGUACGCUAGGUACGGUCGGACAUCGUGCUAAUAGUGCAAUGGCAUAAGCGUGCUUAACUGCGAGACUGACAAGUCGAGCAGAUGCGAAAGCAGGACAUAGUGAUCCGGUGGUUCUGUAUGGAAGGGCCAUCGCUCAACGGAUAAAAGGUACUCUGGGGAUAACAGGCUGAUACCGCCCAAGAGUUCAUAUCGACGGCGGUGUUUGGCACCUCGAUGUCGGCUCAUCUCAUCCUGGGGCUGUAGCCGGUCCCAAGGGUAUGGCUGUUCGCCAUUUAAAGAGGUACGUGAGCUGGGUUUAAAACGUCGUGAGACAGUUUGGUCCCUAUCUUCCGUGGGCGCUGCAGAUUUGAGGAAGCCUGCUCCUAGUACGAGAGGACCGGAGUGGACACACCUCUGGUGUAUCGAUUGUCACGCCAGUGGCAUUGCCGAGUAGCUAUGUGUGGAAGAGAUAACCGCUGAAAGCAUCUAAGCGGGAAACUCGUUUCAAGAUGAGAUCUGCCGGGGCCUUGAGCCCCCUAAAGAGUCGUUCAAGACCAGGACGUUGAUAGGUCGGGUGUGGAAGCGCAGUAAUGCGUUAAGCUAACCGAUACUAAUUGCUCGUGCGGCUUGACCCC
rnacentral:rRNA from 1 species